rnacentral:rRNA from 1 species
ACGAUGUAUACGGACUGACGCCUGCCCGGUGCUGGAAGGUUAAGGGGACUGGUUAGCCGCAAGGCGAAGCUGAGAACUUAAGCCCCAGUAAACGGCGGUGGUAACUAUAACCAUCCUAAGGUAGCGAAAUUCCUUGUCGGGUAAGUUCCGACCUGCACGAAUGGCGUAACGACUUGAGCGCUGUCUCCACCAUGAACUCGGCGAAAUUGCAGUACGAGUAAAGAUGCUCGUUACGCGCGGAAAGACGGAAAGACCCCGGGACCUUUACUAUAUCUUGAUAUUGGUACUCGGAACGUUCUGUGUAGCAUAGGUGGGAGACUUUGAAGCGGCACGCCAGUGUUCGUGGAGUCAAAAAAUGAAAUACCACUCUGAACGUUUUGAGUUUCUAACCUCGGCCCAUUAUCUGGGUCAGGGACAGUGUCUGGUGGGUAGUUUAACUGGGGCGGUUGCCUCCCAAAAAGUAACGGAGGCGCUCAAAGGUUCCCUCAGCCUGGUUGGUAAUCAGGUGUCGAGUGUAAGUGCACAAGGGAGCUUAACUGUGAGACAGACAUGUCAAGCAGGUGCGAAAGCAGGAACUAGUGAUCCGGCGGUGGCUUGUGGAAGCGCCGUCGCUCAACGGAUAAAAGGUACCCCGGGGAUAACAGGCUGAUCUUGCCCAAGAGUCCAUAUCGACGGCAAGGUUUGGCACCUCGAUGUCGGCUCGUCUCAUCCUGGGGCUGGAGUAGGUCCCAAGGGUUGGGCUGUUCGCCCAUUAAAGAGGCACGCGAGCUGGGUUCAGAACGUCGUGAGACAGUUCGGUCCCUAUCUUCCGUGCGCGAAGGAAACUUGAGAAGGGCUGUCCCUAGUACGAGAGGACCGGGACGGACGAACCUCUUGUGUGUCGGUUGUUUCGCCAGAAGCACGGCCGAUUAGCAACGUUCGGAAGGGAUAACCGCUGAAAGCAUCUAAGCGGGAAGCUCGCUUC